UACAGAGGUCUCAAGCGUUGUUCGGAUUCAUUGGGCGUAAAGGGUGCGUAGGCGGCGCGGUAAGUCGGGUGUGAAAUCUUGGAGCUUAACUCCGAAACUGCAUUCGAUACUGCCGUGCUUGAGGACUGGAGAGGAGACUGGAAUUUACGGUGUAGCGGUGAAAUGCGUAGAUAUCGUAAGGAAGACCAGUGGCGAAGGCGGGGUCUCUGGACAGUUCCUGACGCUGAGGCACGAAGGCCAGGGGGACGA
rnacentral:rRNA from 1 species